UACGUAGGCAGCAAGCGUUGUUCGGAGUUACUGGGCGUAAAGGGUGUGUAGGCGGUUCCUUAAGUUUGCUGUGAAAUCUCCCGGCUUAACCGGGAGGGUGCGGUGAAUACUGAGGGACUAGAGUACGGGAGAGGAAAGUGGAAUUCCUGGAUGUAGCGGUGAAAUGCGCAGAUAUCAGGAAGAACACCCGUGGCUAAGGCGGCUCUCUAGUACGGUACUGACGCUGAGACGCGAAAGCGUGGGGAGCGAACAGG
rnacentral:rRNA from 1 species